GAAAUGUUUGUUUUCUUUUCAGCAUCAUCAUCAUCUGUAAGACUGUCAUGUGGUAAAUCAAGAUGGUCAACAACAAGCUAUAAACCUACUUAUAUAGAAACGUCUUUCACAGAAAGUAUAACGCCAUCCGGUGAUGAAUCUAAUCAACCAACAUCCAGUAAUGUAACUAACCAACCAACAUCUCGUAGGGAAGCAAACCAACCCACAAGAAUAACAUUUGGGAAUGAAUCUGAGCAACAGACAACACCAACAUCUAAGAAUGAUAACUCGAUGAUUGCUAUAAUUGGUGGAGCUGUAGGAGGGUUGAUUGUGAUAAUCGUCAUCAUUAUUAUCAUAGUAAUCUGUGUAAUAAACAAACGGAGAAAAGACAAGAAUUAUAAAAGUUCAGAAGCUUUAGAGACUGAUCCCCAUCCUUACCAGAACAUUCCAGAUAACAGAUCAGGGGAAAUAACUCACCAACCUAAACAGAAUAAUGAAAUGAUUAAUCAGGAGAAUGAUCCAUAUACCAGUAUUGAUAAUGAUAUAAUUAAACCUAGCAACGGUAACCAAGGGAUGGAAUAUCUAGAAAAUGAUCUUUAUAUUAGUUCUGAUGAUGUCACUGAUGACGUGGUGAUUGAUAAUAAACUAAAACCUAGCAACGGUAACCAAGGGAUGGAAUAUCUAGAAAAUGAUCUCUAUAUUAGUUCUGAUGAUGUCACUGAUGACGUGGUGGUUGAUGAACAAUUUAAAAUAGGACCUAGUGGAGAUCAAUACGCUGUUGUUGAAAAAGAGGGAAAGAAGAAGAAUAAUGGUGAAGAUAGGGCAGAAUUUAAGAUAGGACCUAGUGGAGAUCAAUACGCCGUGGUUAAUAAAGGUGGGAGGGAGCACAAAUAAUUAACCUUUGAAAGGGGAGGUUAACGUACACCAUCUUGUAUAUAGUGAAAAUGUGUAGCCAUCUGUAUACCUUUGUGAACAUAAAGUUUAAGUACUUUCAGCAUAUUGUGUAUUGUGAUGUCGAGUAUAUAUUUACUUUUCUAAUGAAAGACAGAUUUUAUGUUUUAUUUUAUAUUUAAAUUAACUACACUUAAAACUUGCGUUUAUUAUUUUAUAAUUAAAAUAUAUUUUUGUUUAAAACGUGAAAAUUCAUCAAACGUGAAAAUUCAUCAAAGUUUUGGUUUCAGUAACGUAAUGAAGUGUUUUGGUUUAGGGACCUUUCUUCAAAAGCUACAAAUUCAUACAACGUUAUUUAAACACGUCAUAAGACGUGUAUAUAUUUUAUGUGGUCGGAUCGUACCUACAAGCAUACUGUGGUUCAAUAUUGUUAUAAUUACUUUAAAUGUCUGUCGCCCUGCUGAAACUUUCAAUCUGGUGUUCAGCUAAUCUAAAAUGCUUGGAUACUACUACCCACCCUACCCCACCCCACCCCAUGAGACCAAGUAAGCGCCCUUGAGACCAAGUAAGCGCCCCGAAGGUUCACAAAAAAUCAAUAACAAUCAUAAUAUGACAUGAACGUUAUGUUAACUUGAUAAAAAAAACUGCUUUCCGGCGAGAUAACGAUCGGUGAACAACUAUAUAGGCAAUAUGAUCAGUAUUCUACCAGGACGAUCAGUGUUAUAACCAGUAUUGUUUUGGCAUUCAUUGUGGCGUGGGAUUGUUGAUGGCGCCCCGAGAUUUUGACGCCCCCCCAUUCCAAGCUUCUAUAUCCGCUACAGAAAUUCUAUAAACUAUAAUUCUAUAUCAUUGUGUGAUGUGUCAUCUUCAUUAAAAGCAGGACGUUAAACCACAGUUCAUUUCUUUGUGUGAUGUCAUUUAUAUUAAAUUUUUACAUGUGCCUAUAUUACUGUUAACUAUACUUCUAUAUUAUGUACCUAACUAUAGUAUUUACCAUAUUCUU